rnacentral:rRNA from 1 species
GACGAACGCUGGCGGCAGGCCUAACACAUGCAAGUCGAGCGAGCGGCGGACGGGUGAGUAAUGCCUAGGAACUGCCUGGGAGUGGGGGAUAACGUCCGGAAACGGUGGCUAAUACCGCAUCCUAUCGGUUAACCCAUAUGGGAUUAGCUAGUAGGUGUGGUAAAGGCUCACCUAGGCGACGAUCUCUAGAUGGUCUGAGAGGAUGAUCAGUCACCCUGGGACUGUAACACGGCCCAGACUCCUACGGAGGCAGCAGUGGGGAAGAUUGCGCGAUGGGCGCAAGCCUGAUACAGCCAUGCCGCGUGUAUGAAGAAGGCUUUAGGGUUGUAAAGUACUUUCAUCAGGGAGGCGUUACCCGCAGAAGAAGCGACGGCUAACUCCGUGCCAGCCGCCGCGGUAAUUC